UACGUAGGGAGCAAGCGUUGUUCGGAUUUAUUGGGCGUAAAGGGUGCGUAGGCGGCAAAUUAAGUCAGCUGUGAAAUCUCCGAGCUUAACUCGGAACGGUCAGCUGAUACUGAUCUGCUAGAGUGCGGAAGGGGCAAUCGGAAUUCUUGGUGUAGCGGUGAAAUGCGUAGAUAUCUGGAGGAACACCGGUGGCGAAGGCGGCAUCCUGGACCGAAAUUGACGCUGAUGCGCGAAGGCCAGGGGAGCAAACGGG
rnacentral:rRNA from 1 species